rnacentral:rRNA from 1 species
GACGAACGCUGGCGGCGUGCUUAACACAUGCAAGUCGAGCGAGCGGCGGACGGGUGAGUAAUGUCUGGGAAACUGCCUGAUGGAGGGGGAUAACUACUGGAAACGGUAGCUAAUACCGCAUACCAUCAGAUGUGCCCAGAUGGGAUUAGCUAGUAGGUGGGGUAAAGGCCUACCAAGGCGACGAUCCGUAACUGGUCUGAGAGGAUGAUCAGUCACACUGGAACUGAGACACGGUCCAGACUCCUACGGGAGGCAGCAGUGGGGAAUAUUGGACAAUGGGCGAAAGCCUGAUGCAGCCAUGCCGCGUGUGUGAAGAAGGCCUUCGGGUUGUAAAGCACUUUCAGCGGGGAGGCGUUACCCGCAGAAGAAGCACCGGCUAACUCCGUGCCAGCAGCCGCGGUAAUUC